rnacentral:snRNA from 1 species
AAAGCCAGAGGAAACUCUGG